rnacentral:rRNA from 1 species
CAAUAGCGUAUAUUAAAGUUGUUGCAGUUAAAAAGCUCGUAGUUGGAUUUUGGGUUUGGUAAAAUCGGUCUGCGUUAUGUAGUACUGACUUGCCUGCUCUUCUUCUCGAGGCCUGUGGGUGUACUUAACCGUGUGUUCAUAGUGUUCGGGACUUUUACCGUGAGAAAAUUAGAGUGUUCAUAGCAGGCUUUUGCUUGAAUAUUGCAGCAUGGAAUAAUGGAAUAGGAUCAUGAUCUUAUUUUGUUGGUUUCUAAGAUCAAGAUAAUGAUUAAUAGGGAUAGUUGGGGGCAUUAAUAUUUAGUUGUCAGAGGUGAAAUUCUUAGAUUUACAAAAGAUUAACUUCUGCGAAAGCAUUUGCCAAGGAUGUUUUCGUUAA